AAGUGUUUUAACAUCAUGAAGAUUGUGCAGCUUCACCUCUAUCUGCUCAUAUGGUGUGAAGCUGCGGAGACUUUAACUGAUCAACUAACAGAUUUGGGUCAAAAUGUGUCUAUAAACUGUGAUUUUGAUGUAAAGGAGGUUAACUGGUUAUUACUGAAACUACCAGAUUCUCCGGUUCUGAUAUUACGCACUUUCUCAUCUGCAGCUCCUCAUUACUACAAUAAUAGAUUUAGACACAAAUAUUCAGUGCAAAGAAAACCUCAUCUAUUCAUAAAUAAUGUCACUAUUGAUGAUUUAGGACUUUAUUACUGUGUGACCACAGACGCUCC